AAUUGAAUAAACAAUUUUAUGUAAAGAAAUACGAAGGAUAUAAUAUCAUUAGUAAGUAUUUAAAAGUACGUGCAGCAUAAUGGCGCGUCUUGAAACCUCUUUCUAUAGCAAAGCGGACACUGAGGUUUCCUUAAAGGGGAACCACAAGGAGAUGAUAGAGCUUCAAUCGACUCUGAUUGGUGCGUUUUAAAUACGCUCCGUAUACGAAAGUGGGAGUUUCAAUCCUUGGAGACG
rnacentral:lncRNA from 1 species